rnacentral:rRNA from 1 species
GAUGAACGCUGGCGGCGCGCCUAACACAUGCAAGUCGAACGAUUAAAGCACCUUCGGGUGUGUAUAAAGUGGCGAACGGCUGAGUAACACGUGGGCAACCUGCCCCUCUCAUUGGGAUAGCCACGGGAAACCGUGGAUAAUACCGAAUACUUCGGGACUUCCGCAUGGAAGACUCGAGAAAGCUCCGGCGGAGAGGGAUGGGCCCGCGGCCUGUUAGCUUGUUGGUGGGGUAAUGGCCUACCAAGGCAAUGAAGGGUAGCUGGGUAGAGAGGCCGACCAGCCAGUUUGGGACUGGGACACCGCCCAGUCUCCUACGGGAGGCAGAAGUGGGGAAUCUUGCCCAAUGGGCGACAGCCUGAUGCAGCGACGCCGCGUGCGGGAUGAAGGCCUUCGGGUUGUAAACCGCUUUCAGCAGGGACGAGGCGAAAGUGACGGUACCUGCAGAAGAAGCCCCGGCUAACUACGUG